rnacentral:rRNA from 1 species
AACGGGUGAGUAAUAUAUCGGAACGUACCCAGUAAUGGGGGAUAACUAGUCGAAAGAUUAGCUAAUACCGCAUACGCCCUGAGGGGAAAAGCGGGGGACCGUAAGGCCUCGCGUUAUUGGAGCGGCCGAUAUCUGAUUAGCUAGUUGGUGGGGUAAAGGCCUACCAAGGCGACGAUCAGUAGCUGGUCUGAGAGGAUGAUCAGCCACACUGGAACUGAGACACGGUCCAGACUCCUACGGGAGGCAGCAGUGGGGAAUUUUGGACAAUGGGCGCAAGCCUGAUCCAGCCAUUCCGCGUGAGUGAAGAAGGCCUUCG